rnacentral:rRNA from 1 species
AACGUCCUUUUCAGUGAGGGAUAACGUAGCGAAAGUUACGCUAAUACCGCAUAUUCUCUGAGGAGGAAAAGCAGGGGACCUUCGGGCCUUGCGCUGAUAGAGCGGCCGAUAUCAGAUUAGCUAGUUGGUGGGGUAAAGGCCUACCAAGGCGACGAUCUGUAGCGGGUCUGAGAGGAUGAUCCGCCACACUGGGACUGAGACACGGCCCAGACUCCUACGGGAGGCAGCAGUGGGGAAUUUUGGACAAUGGGCGAAAGCCUGAUCCAGCCAUGCCGCGUGAGUGAAGAAGGCCUUCGGGUUGUAAAGCUCUUUCGGCCGGGAAGAAAUCGCACAGGCUAAUACCUUGUGUGGAUGACGGUACCGGAAUAAGAAGCACCGGCUAACUACGUGCCAGCAGCCGCGGUAAUACGUAGGGUGCGAGCGUUAAUCGGAAUUACUGGGCGUAAAGCGUGCGCAGGCGGUUUGGUAAGACAGGCGUGAAAUCCCCGGGCUCAACCUGGGAACUGCGCUUGUGACUGCCUCACUAGAGUACGGCAGAGGGGGGUGGAAUUCCACGUGUAGCAGUGAAAUGCGUAGAGAUGUGGAGGAACACCGAUGGCGAAGGCAGCCCCCUGGGCCGAUACUGACGCUCAUGCACGAA